UGCUUGGGCAGCCAGAAAGUGUGCUCACCCACCGAGCAGGAAGCUCCUCCCAGGUCUUCACUGUUCCUGGGUCAAGACUGGUUUCAUUGGUCUAUGUGGAUGACAGCGUAUUAUAGUGUGUUUAAUAAAAGGUGAGAGAUUAUUACCAAUAACCAACAUUUGUCAAGGGCUCCAAAAGUGCAUUUCCAGACAUUAUCUCACCGACCUCCACACAAGCCUCUGAGAGCAUCCCUGUGAGCUCCUGUCUGUAAUGCCGAGGCCUGGAGGGCCUGUAAAAAGGCCAAUCCUGACCCAGAUCUCCUCCAGCGAGCAACCCUUCCAGGUCCAUGAUGCCAACUCUCUGGGUGGCCUGUUUAAUGGGGAGAAAAAAUUAAAUACCCCAGCCAAGUCCUAUGGAAACCAAAGAGGGUCAACAAGCCCACUCCUACUGUAGCAUCAUAGACUUGUAGAGGACAGCCAGAGUCAGCCCCUGGGCUUCCAGGUUUCUGGGCUUCCUGGUUUCCGGACUUCCGGCAGGGCCUCAGAUGUCAGGAGCCGCAUUCCUCCCUUACCUUACAGCCUUAGGAUUCCUGGCAGUUUCCUAAGAACUCCACAGCUGGAGUACAGCUGCUUGGGGUGGAGAAAGCAGUACUCUUGGUAGGUCAGCAGGGUGAGCGAGCGAGGGCAGGGACUGUUGGAAGGUUGGGAAAGUCCUUGCCUGAGCCAGAAUCCAGGAAUGUGCUGGGGCCUCGGCUGAGAAAUCCUUCCAGAUGGGGGAGGGAAGGGGAAAGUGUCUGCCUUCUGGAUAGAUUUUUUUUUAAAAAAUCGCCCCAGGGAGGUGGACUGUUUUGAAACCGUCUUUUAGUGUGAAUGUUUAAACUGACCUGGAAACUUCCUCCCUUUUCUUUUCCUACAGUCCGAAUUUGUUUCCGAGGAGCAGUAAUCAACAAGGACAUUUGCCUCAGGGUCUCUCUUCCUUCGCCUCUUUAAAUGUUUAAAAAAAUUAUUGUUGUUGUUGUUAUCUUUAGUUCGGGGAAACUUUUGGACGCUCUCCAGGCUGCGGCUAUAGAAGUUUCCAGGAAAAUGGAAAAGCAACAUUAGUGUUUUGAACCUGUCUGGGUCAAGGGCUAGACGUGUUGGUUUUUUGCUUUUUGGUUUUUUUUUAGAAUGUCAGCAAUAAGGGCAGCCAGGUCCUGUGAGAGAGGCCAGCAAGGCAGAGGGCCUGAAGAUGCUGUCAGAAGGAUCUAAGAGCAUCCGAAAUCUCAGAGACGAACGUGGAGUUUAGCUGGCCUGCCUCUCCUGGAGCCACAGGGAACUGUGGAUUGUCACUUCAGGUGCUGGGUAUGGAGGGAGUGAGAACUUCAAGCCCAAGCCAUCGUAGAGACAGGUGGACCAGAGAUACAGUCUUGGGCAUUUGCAUUUUAGAGACUUGAAGCCCACACCAGAAGGCUACAAGUCAGUGAGCACACACACACACACACCAGGCCCCAAGGUGGCAGGGCCCACGAAAGACAGAAGAAAGGCUUGUCUUGGUUCUAUGACGAAUGCAUCAUGUACCUUGCUUCAAGGGCAAAGAGACAGAAAAAGUCAGAGAGUAAAGUCAGAACUGGGUCAGGAGGGGGAGGAAGAAUCAGGUUUUUGCAAGGCAGUUACUUCUUGCCUGCUCAGGGUUUCUCUGGAUAGUCCUGACUGUCCUGAAACUCGUUCUGUAGACCAGGCUGCCCUUGAACUCACAGAGAUCCGCCUAACUCUGCCUCCCGAGUUCUGGGAUUAAAGAUUUGCCCACCACCACCUGAACAAGUGUUCAGUUCUUACUUCUGUCUUAUAGAUGAGAACACUGAGACUCAGUGAUGAAAGAACUGGUCACUGUAGGAGUAGGCUUUGAGAUUCUCCUCCUUGCUGCCUGGAGGACGAUAGUUUUUUUUCCUGUUUGCCUUAUGAACUCUUUGGUCUUGGCUUUUUCUCCAGCACCAUGCUUACCUGGAUGCUGACGUGUCUCCUGUAUUGAUGAUACUGGACUGAACCUCUGAGCCUAUAAGCCAGCCCCAAUUAAAUGUGUGCCUUAUAAGAAUAAAAAGAAUGAUGAAGGAACUGAACUCAGAACACACAACCAGUAAGUGGUAGGCCAAGUUAAUCCUGAGUUAAUAUUGCAGACAGACCUGGGUUUGAGUCCUGAUUGGUGAGACAUGUGAUUCAGCAAGUUUUGUGCACAGCCAGCUCUUCUCAGCUGAUUUCCUAUGUUAAAUGCAUGGAGGAAUGCAGGCCAUUUCCUAUAACUAGCUGCUAGCAUUGUUACAAGUUUGCUGCAGGAAUUAAGUAGAAACGUGCUUCCAUUGGUAGAGCGGCUA
rnacentral:sRNA from 1 species